GUGUGGUAUUAUGCUUUUUAUUCUUAUUAUUGAAGAAUUAUCUAUGUGUGUUUCUUAAUUUUCAAGGAGUUCAGGAAAAGAAAUACUCACCUUUUACAUUCAGUUCCUCAUGGCAAGUUGAAGGAUGAGGAAGAGAAAAUUAAGGUGGAUCAAGAAUGUGCUCAGAAUCUCGUCUGAAGUUUUCUGCAUCAGUAACUGAGGAGCAAAGGAAAUCUACCCAGUGGCCCUCCAGCAGAUUUCUCCAUGUAUCUAACUGGCCACAACAUUGCCUCCCUACAUUUAAUGGAUAUUGAGAAAGAUGUUAGGAGACAAGCACACAGAGGGAACACUGUGGAAGCAAACAGACUGAUCUGAAUUCAGAUUGCAUACCUGCAUUAGAAAGCCCUCCUCGCUGGGUGAUUUUCUCUAUGGCGGUCUUCAGAUCCCGGGAAUUCAUGAAAUGAUUCCCCUGUGAGCGUUAAGAAGCAAGAAGAAUGCCAGUCAGAAAUGGUCCCCUGUGAUCCCGAGGAAGGCUCGGCACCUGGGGAACAGGGCACGGAGACGGAUGUCAUUGUGUCCAGGCCUCCCUGAAGGUGAAAUUCACCUGAGGCACCUGUUCAAGUCCUGAGACACCAGAUCUCAUCCUGGCAGCAGCUCACAUCAGUAGGUCUGUACUAGAGGUGGGCAUCUUUGUUUGUUUGUUUUAAACAAGGGAUCCAGGUGAAUCCUAUCCUCAGCAAAGUUGGGGAAGCUCUGGAGUCUGGAAGACUUCUACGGUCCCUUCAGUUAAAGCCCCAGGGGCUCCUGCGUUGCCCGGGUACUUGGAGCCACACUGUGUGAGCCUCUCACGCAAGUUCCUCGGCCAGCAGAGACAUACUGAUGGCUCAGAUCUCCUGUGGUGCCAGCUUUUCAAAAUGGUUUCCUCCCACAAGGCAUCACCUGAGGUUACAAUAAA